rnacentral:rRNA from 1 species
CUUGACUAGGCCAGAGAGGCGUAAUGAAAGUAAAGUUGAUUNGAGUUAUGAUCUCCGCCAGGCCACGUACCUNUGCGUGUGUGGCGGUGGAGCGCAAUAACAGCCCGCUAGUUUCGCUUUAUGACGAUUUAGCGGAGUUGUAGCGUAUGCGUUGGUACCCGAAAGAUGGUGAACUAUGCCUGGGCAAGACGAAGCCAGAGGAAACUCUGGUGGAGGUCUGUAGCGAUUCUGACGUGCAAAUCGAUCGUCAGAC